GCGGACGUAGUGUAAUGGUAGCACGCAGGUUUUCAGUACCUGAAAUUCCGAUUGCCCUCGGGUAGUGCGGGUUCGAUUCCCGUCGUCCGCU
rnacentral:tRNA from 1 species